rnacentral:rRNA from 1 species
GAUGAACGCUGGCGGUGUGCCUAAUACAUGCAAGUCGAGCGGUAACAUGGACUUCGGUCUGAUGACGAGCGGCGGACGGGUGAGUAACGCGUAAGAAUGUACCCCAAACUGAGGGAUAACUGCUCGAAAGAGUAGCUAAUACCGCAUGUGCUCUACGGAGUAAAGCUUCGGCGGUUUGGGAACAGCUUGCGUAGGAUUAGCUAGUUGGUAAGGUAAUGGCUUACCAAGGCGACGAUCCUUAGCUGGUCUGAGAGGAUGAUCAGCCACACCGGGACUGAGACACGGCCCAGACUCCUACGGGAGGCAGCAGUAGGGAAUUUUCCACAAUGGGGGCAACCCUGAUGGAGCAACACCGCGUGCAGGAUGAAGGCCUUCGGGUUGUAAACUGCUUUUGUCUGUGACGAAUAUGACGGUAGCAGACGAAUAAGGAUCGGCUAACUACGUGCCAGCCGCCGCGGUAA